GUGCUGCUGAUAAAGUGACACUACUUUGAAUUAUACCGUUUAGCGACUUCAGUACAUGCCUCAUAGCUCCUGUCUCAAACUUAACCCCAUUCCUUCUGAAGAAGAGGAGAUCUGCUAGAUGGAGAAAGAAGCUCUCGUGAAAGAGGAGGAGGAAGAGGAGGCUGUUACAAUACAAAAACAAGUAGAGGUUGAGGCUGUUACCGUGAAAGAAGAAGAGAAAGACGUCACCGUUAAAUAAGAGGAAGACUCGUUCAGAGUUAAAGAGGACGACGACGUUUCAGUGAAAGAAGAGGAGGGGGAGGUGACUGUCACAUCGAACAAUGAAGAAGAGGAGGAAACUGGAUAUCUGGGCCCGGUUUCCCAAACGCAUCUUAAGGCGUCCGAUAGUUCUAACGAUUAACACUAGAGAGAGACGUGACUAUCGUGGAUCCUCUGGGGAGCCUCAACAACCUCAUGAUGCUGAUGAGGCAGAGAAGAGUCUCUCCACCUCAAAACACCUCAAGAAACACCAGCAGAGACCCACAGGGAAGAAAUCUCAUUGCUGCUCGGACUGUGGGAAAGGUUGCAAAUCUUCAUCAGAACUUAAAAUACACCAGAGAACACACACAGGAG